rnacentral:rRNA from 1 species
AUUGAACGCUGGCGGCAGGCCUAACACAUGCAAGUCGAGCGGAUGAAGGGAGCUUGCUCCUGGAUUCAGCGUCGGACGGGUGAGUAAUGCCUAGGAAUCUGCCUGGUCGUGGGGGAUAACGUCCGGAAACGGGCGCUAAUACCGCAUACGUCCUGAGGGAGAAAGUGGGGGAUCUUCGGACCUCACGCUAUCAGAUGAGCCUAGGUCGGAUUGGCUAGUUGGUGGGGUAAAGGCCUACCAAGGCGACGAUCCGUAACUGGUCUGAGAGGAUGAUCAGUCACACGGGAGCUGAGACGCGGUCCAGGCUCCUACGGGAGGCAGCAGAGGGGAAUAGUGGACAAUGGGCGAAAGCCUGAUCCAGCCAGGCCGCGUGUGUGAAGAAGGUCUUCGGAUUGUAAAGCACUUUAAGUUGGGGGGAAGGGCAGUAAGUUAAUACCUUGCUGUUUUGACGGUACCAACAGAAUAAGCACCGGCUAACUUCGUG